rnacentral:rRNA from 1 species
GACGAACGCUGGCGGCGUGCUUAACACAUGCAAGUCGAACGGAAAGGCCCUGCUUUUGUGGGGUGCUCGAGUGGCGAACGGGUGAGUAACACGUGAGUAACCUGCCCUUGACUUUGGGAUAACUUCAGGAAACUGGGGCUAAUACCGGAUAGGAGCUCCUGCUGCAUGGUGGGGGUUGGAAAGUUUCGGCGGUUGUGGAUGGACUCGCGGCUUAUCAGCUUGUUGGUGGGGUAGUGGCUUACCAAGGCUUUGACGGGUAGCCGGCCUGAGAGGGUGACCGGCGACAUUGGGACUGCGAUAGGGACCAGACUCCUACGGGAGGCAGCAGUGGAGAAUAUUGCACAAUGGGCGGAAGCCUGAUGCAGCAGCGCCGCGUGCGGGAUGACGGCCUUCGGGUUGUAAACCGCUUUGGCCGGUGACGAAGCGUGAGUGACGGUAAUGGGUAAAGAAGCACCGGCUAACUACGUG